rnacentral:rRNA from 1 species
GAUGAACGCUCGCGAUAGGCUUAACACAUGCAAGUCGAGGGGCAGCAUGGUCUUAGCUUGCUAAGACUGAUGGCGACCGGCGCACGGGUGCGUAACGCGUAUGCAACUUGCCUCACAGAGGGGGAUAACCCGUCGAAAGACGGACUAAUACCGCGUACACUUGGGAUAGGGCAUCCUGACCCAAGGAAAUGAAAUUCGCUGUGAGAUAGGCAUGCGUCCCAUUAGCUAGUUGGUGAGGUAACGGCUCACCAAGGCGACGAUGGGUAGGGGAACUGAGAGGUUGAACCCCCACACUGGUACUGAGACACGGACCAGACUCCUACGGGAGGCAGCAGUGAGGAAGAUUGGUCAAUGGGCGAGAGCCUGAACCAGCCAAGUCGCGUGAAGGAUGACUGUCUUAUGGAUUGUAAACUUCUUUUAUACGGGAAUAACAAGAGCCACGUGUGGCUCCCUGCAUGUACCGUAUGAAUAAGCAUCGGCUAACUCCGUG